GGGGGUGUAGCUCAACUGGGAGAGCGUCGGCUUUGCAAGCCGAAGGUUACCGGUUCGAUCCCGGUCAUCUCCA
rnacentral:tRNA from 1 species